rnacentral:rRNA from 1 species
AUUGAACGCUGGCGGCAGGCCUAACACAUGCAAGUCGAGCGGAUGAGGGGAGCUUGCUCCUGGAUUCAGCGGCGGACGGGUGAGUAAUGCCUAGGAAUCUGCCUGGUAGUGGGGGAUAACGUCCGGAAACGGGCGCUAAUACCGCAUACGUCCUGAGGGAGAAAGUGGGGGAUCUUCGGACCUCACGCUAUCAGAUGAGCCUAGGUCGGAUUAGCUAGUUGGUGGGGUAAAGGCCUACCAAGGCGACGAUCCGUAACUGGUCUGAGAGGAUGAUCAGUCACACUGGAACUGAGACACGGUCCAGACUCCUACGGGAGGCAGCAGUGGGGAAUAUUGGACAAUGGGCGAAAGCCUGAUCCAGCCAUGCCGCGUGUGUGAAGAAGGUCUGCGGAUUGUAAAGCACUUUAAGUUGGGAGGAAGGGCAGUAAGUUAAUACCUUGCUGUUUUGACGUUACCAACAGAAUAAGCACCGGCUAACUUCGG